AUUAUUGUGAGAAUUUUCUUCUAUAAAACCUAUCGUAGUAUUAUAGUAUCUCACCAUAUUUUUGUUUUACCUUGGAUAAAUUUACGCUAUAAUUAAACCACAGGAUAUCAUAUUUGCAUCACUCUGAAUACAUAAGGGCGAGACUUACCAGAUCAGAGACCGGGAAGCGUGACGUUACGCUCAAACUGUUUAUGUAUCAGUCGCCAUCUUGGCAGGCUCUCUUACCAAACACCUCUGUCCAUUUAACCGUAACUCCGCACCACCACCACACUGGUCGCCACAGAGAUUUCCACCGCAGCCUACAAUCUUUGAGGGUGAUCCAACCUGCGGGCGCUGCCGUCUGCUCAAAGAACCCCAUUAAAUUGCGCAGCGGCCACAUGAGAAUACCGCCACGGUUGCCUGGUGUGAUGCCACCGUCUUCUGGGUCGUCUUCACGGGGUACGUGGACAAGUUGCUGUGAUUCGAGGCGCCAUGGGAACAAGAGGAAAAAAAAAAGAACAUGACUGAAUAAAGAUUUAAGGGAACAUAUUCUUGCCACGCAUUUCAUGACACUGCAAGCGACGGAUCGCCCUGCCCCACACCAGAGACAGUGUAAAUAUAGGCAGCAAGAGUCACACCUUCAGGCGUCAUGAAGCUGCUGAUACUCGCGCUUCUGGUGGGCACCACAUUCGGCGCCUCAUACCAACCCAGGCACCACAGAGGGAACCUUACCCAGCUGGAUAAGGAUGCCGGCGAUAAGGUGACCUUGGUGAAUCGGAGAAACACACUACAGGCCGUGAAGCAACACGACACGCAAGACGGCCACAGGUGGGUCAAGCACGGCAGUUUGAGAAGAAACAUGGAGGAAGAAACGUGGGUUUCCGUUGUUAGAAAAAACGGAUAUUUGAUAGUC